UACAGAGGGUGCAAGCGUUGUUCGGAAUUAUUGGGCGUAAAGCGCGUGUAGGCGGCUUUGCAAGUCGGGUGUGAAAUCCCUCAGCUCAACUGAGGAAGUGCGCCCGAAACUGCAGAGCUUGAGUGCCGGAGAGGGUGGCGGAAUUCCCCAAGUAGAGGUGAAAUUCGUAGAUAUGGGGAGGAACACCGGUGGCGAAGGCGGCCACCUGGCCGAUUACUGACGCUGAGACGCGAAAGCAUGGGGAGCAAACAGG
rnacentral:rRNA from 1 species